GACGAACGCUGGCGGCGUGCUUAACACAUGCAAGUCGAACGGAAAGGCCCUGCUUUUGUGGGGUGCUCGAGUUGCGAACGGGUGAGUAACACGUGAGUAACCUGCCCCUGACUUUGGGAUAACUUCAGGAAACUGGGGCUAAUACCGGAUAGGAGCUACUGCUGCAUGGUGGGGGCUGGUAAGUUUAGGCGGUUGGUGGUGGACUCGCGGCUGAUCAGCUUGUUGGGGGGGUAGUGGCUUACCAAGACCAGGAAGGGUAGCAUGGCUGCGAGGGUCACAGGCCACAUUGGGAUUGAGAUACGACCCAGACUACUACGGGAGGCAGCAGAGGGGAGUAUUGCACAAUGGGAGGAAGCCUGAUGUAGCAACGCCGCGUGCGGGAUGACGGCCAUCGGGUUGUGAACCGCUUUCGCCUGUGACGAAGCGAGAGUGACGGUAAUGGGUAAAGAAGCUCCGGCUAACUACGUG
rnacentral:rRNA from 1 species